GGUUUACCAAGCAACGGUUAUGGUGGGCACUCUAAGGAGACUGCCGGUGACAAACCGGAGGAAGGUGGGGAUGACGUCAAGUCAUCAUGGCCCUUACGGCCUGGGCUACACACGUGCUACAAUGGUCGGUACAAAGGGUUGCCAAGCCGCGAGGUGGAGCUAAUCCCAUAAAACCGAUCGUAGUCCGGAUCGCAGUCUGCAACUCGACUGCGUGAAGUCGGAAUCGCUAGUAAUCGUGAAUCAGAAUGUCACGGUGAAUACGUUCCCGGGCCUU
rnacentral:rRNA from 1 species